rnacentral:rRNA from 1 species
CGGCGGACGGGUGAGUAACGCGUGGGUAACCUGCCUCAUACAGGGGGAUAACAGUUAGAAAUGACUGCUAAUACCGCAUAAGACCACGGUACCGCAUGGUACAGUGGUAAAAACUCCGGUGGUAUGAGAUGGACCCGCGUCUGAUUAGGUAGUUGGUGGGGUAACGGCCUACCAAGGCGACGAUCAAUAGCCGACCUGAGAGGGUGACCGGCCACAUUGGGACUGAGACACGGCCCAA